AGAGGAAUUGCCGAGUCAUAUCAUAAUACAACUUUUUGAGGGACUGCCAAAACUAUUUUCCAAAUGGCUGUACUAUUUCACAUUUCCAAUGGCAAU
rnacentral:pre_miRNA from 1 species